GGAUGUGGCUCAGUGGUAAAGCACUUGCCUAGCAUGCCCGAGGUCUUGGGUUUGAUCCCCAGUACUG
rnacentral:tRNA from 1 species